rnacentral:rRNA from 1 species
UACGGAGGGGGCUAGCGUUGUUCGGAAUUACUGGGCGUAAAGCGCACGUAGGCGGCUUUGUAAGUUAGAGGUGAAAGCCCGGGGCUCAACUCCGGAAUUGCCUUUAAGACUGCAUCGCUAGAAUUGUGGAGAGGUAAGUGGAAUUCCGAGUGUAGAGGUGAAAUGCGUAGAUAUCGGAAGGAACACCUGUGGCGAAAGCGGCUCACUGGACCAUUACUGACGCUGAUGCACGAAAGCUAGGGGAGCAAACAGG